UACGUAGGGAGCAAGCGUUGUUCGGAAUUACUGGGCGUAAAGAGUGUGUAGGCGGUGUUCUAAGUCUGACGUGAAAUCUCCCGGCUUAACUGGGAGGGUGCGUCGGAAACUGGAAUGCUAGAGUGUGGGAGAGGAAAGCGGAAUUCCUGGUGUAGCGGUGAAAUGCGUAGAUAUCAGGAGGAACACCUGCGGUGUAGACAGCUUUCUGGACCACUUCUGACGCUGAGACACGAAAGCGUGGGUAGCAAACAGG
rnacentral:rRNA from 1 species